UAGGAUCGGACGGGAGGAUCUCAAACCAUCCAACCACAACUAUACUCGCGUUUGUGGGGAUCAUUUCACGUCAGGUAAACCAGUGGCACUUUUUGACAAAAAUCAUCCUGACUGGGCACCGUCUGUCAAAUUGGGCCACGA